AAAAAGACAAACUGAAUUUUUAUGUUUAACAUUUGGCUGUCUUAUAUGAAAUUUUUUAUAAUUAGUAUUUCUAUUGUUAUUAGAUGAUAAAAUAUAAUUAAUACUUUAUGCGUGACUUGUCUUUUUAAUUUUUGAAAUAAGACGAACGGUUAAACGUCAGACACGGAGAUCUAGGGUU
rnacentral:pre_miRNA from 1 species